UAGUCCACGCCGUAAACGAUGGAUACUAACUGUUGGGACUUCGGUCUCAGUGGUCAAGCGAAAGUGAUAAGUAUCCCACCUGGGGAGUACGGUCGCAAGAUUGAAACUCAAAGGAAUUGACGGGGGCCCGCACAAGCGGUGGAGCAUGUGGUUUAAUUCGAUGAUACGCGAGGAACCUUACCAGGGCUUAAAUGUAAGUUGCAUGAUUUAGAGAUAGAUCUUUCUUCGGACUACUUACAAGGUGCUGCAUGGUUGUCGUCAGCUCGUGCCGUGAGGUGUCAGGUUAAGUCCUAUAACGAGCGCAACCCCUACCGUUAGUUGCCAGCAUGUAAAGAUGGGGACUCUAGCGGGACUGCCAGUGCAAACUGUGAGGAAGGUGGGGAUGACGUCAAAUCAUCACGGCCCUUACGUCCUGGGCUACACACGUGCUACAAUGGUAUAGACAGAGAGCAGCCACUACGCGAGUAGGAGCGAAUCUUCAAACUAUAUCUCAGUUCGGAUC
rnacentral:rRNA from 1 species